GCAGGACGAGCUGACCUUCGGAGCCAAGACUUCGGUGGAGGUUUAUUAUCUGGACGCUUUUGGAACGGGCCGGGCGAGCGCGCUGAACAUCUGCGUGGGGAGGGCCUGCCGGGAGGAGCUUCGAAGGGACUCGUUCCCAGGGCCGGAGUCCCACUCUCUCGAUGGCUCACAGACGGGGACACCGAGGCCCAGAGGAGUCAAGGGCUUGCUGUACGCCUCCAAAUCCGAGGCCUUUUUGGUUGCAAAGAGCGAGGAUUGGAAUUCAGAAUUUAUCUUGGGCGAGACUCUGUUCUGCCUCCUGGACCAGUGGCCUCAUCUGCUCGGCCGCCGCCGUGCAUCUCACUUCCCCGGCUCCCGGUCCCUGGACGUGCCCUCUAGAAACGACUCAAUUUCCUUUGCCCUGGCCUUCCGAAAAGCAAGCAGGGCUGCUGAUAGCAGUGAUCUUAGCUCUACGAGCUGCCCCCGUGCGCGCCCCGCCUUCAGAGACGGAGAAAGUUUUCCCCAGGCCCCCGAUUCGGGUUCCUGGCCACUAUAUCGCCAGACCACCGUGAGCAAGAAUCUUAGGAGAGUCUAUUGAGACGGGACCUCUAGCGUGGAGAAUGGGUCCCUGAGCAUCUGGGGCAUGUGCAGCCCCUAACCUAUCUUCUGUCCUAGCUGGAGACACCUAGAGACUUCGGUGAGCUGAGCCACCGCGGUGCAUGGGCUUUGACCAGGGAUCUGGGACGACAGGCUGGGCCGCUUUGAGCUCCCCGAGGCUCCUGCUUAUUUAUGUUACCAUUAUAACUCGAAGCCAAUAUUUAAGCAUUACCAAAGCAACAGCCCAAAUUCUCCAGCCCUUGGCCCCCAUCCAGCCCCACACGGUGGGGACGGAGCAGGAGGGAGGAGCAAGGAAAAUGAGUCAACCGUGCCCCCCACCUCCCAACCACCUGGGAAAACAGUGAUCCAAAAAGCAGAUCUCAGCUUCUCUUGCGGGGCAGCUGUUCUCUUCCGUGGUCCUACGACUCUGCGCUUUGCACCCAAGCGGCACCAAGUCAAGCAAGACCUCGGUCUCCCAGGAUUUUAUUUUACUUUUGUUGUACGGUUGGAGCCAAUAGGUUUUUCAAACUUCAUAUCGGCAUUUCAUGUGGCGAAGAACGUGGACGAGCCAUAAGGGUUCAAUUUUUUUGUCACCAGCCGGAGGCAUCUUUCACCAGGACCCAGACUACGCAACGGCACACGGGCGGCACCCUCUCCCCAGGCCCCCUGGUCCCCCGCUCCUCGUUACUGGACCCCGAGGGGGUAACCAUUGUGCUCGCCACUCACGGCCUCGCUUAGUUUUGCCUGGUUGUGUACUUUGUAUACAUGGAAUCGUACCCUAUGUUCUCUCCUGGACUGGAGCCAAUGGCAUUUUCAGUUCUCGAGGGACCUGAGUGGCCCUUCUCGCCAGCAGCUCUGGGGAGGAAAGAACACAGAGAAGGCACCUUCCCUGUCCCACAAGCCAGUAGGUGUCAAGACAGGGACUGGAAAACAUAUAUAGAAGGGGAGGGGGCAGGCAGUGAUCUUGACUUAAAAAGAAAGGCACACUGGGGCGCCUGGGUGGCGCAGUCGGUUAAGCGUCCGACUUCAGCCAGGUCACGAUCUCGCGGUCCGUGAGUUCGAGCCCCGCGUCGGGCUCUGGGCUGAUGGCUCAGAGCCUGGAGCCUGUUUCCGAUUCUGUGUCUCCCUCUCUCUCUGCCCCUCCCCCGUUCAUGCUCUGUCUCUCUCUGUCCCAAAAAUAAAUAAACGUUGGAAAAAAAAAAAAAAAAAAAAAAAAAAAAAAAGAAAGGCACACUAUCCUUUUGUGCCCCGUGUAACUGGCGUUUCUAUCUGGUGUUCGGGGAAGGAGACAGGAGGGGAUGAGUAGAGUCAUAAUGAGCCCGAUGGCUGGGGUCUCCGGAACCUGGCCCCCCCCCCC
rnacentral:lncRNA from 1 species